AUACCCAAGAGAAAUGAAAACAUGUCCACAUAAAACUUGUACAUGGAUGUUCAUAGCAGCAUUAUUCAAAAUAGUAAAAAACUGGAAACAACCCAAAUGUCUACGAACUGAUGAAAGGAUAGGCAAAAAUGUCAUCUACCCAUACAAAGAAAUAUCCUUCAGCUAUGAAAAGAAUACAUGCUACCAUGUGGAUGAACCUUGAAAACAUUAUGUGAAGUGAAAGAAGCCAGACACGAGAGACAUACAUAUUGUGUGAUCCCAUUUAUUCGAAAUGUCCAGAAUAGGCAAAUGCAUAGAGACAGAAGGCAGUGGAAGAACUCAGGCACCAAGGCACUGGAGGGUCAAUAAGCUGCCCAAAGCUUCGUCCUGGUGAGUCACAGCGGCCCAGUGUGGCCCAAUCCUAUAUGAGAGAAAAGAAAGUAAAGAAGAAAGUGGGAUGCUGAGAAACGGAAAGAGCAACCAGCUUUUCUGAUUCAAACGUGUUGGCAGAACUGUGGAAAUUGGAGAAUUGUAUUUCCCUCUUGGAAAUGUGGACACGAGGAAGAGAGGCUGAGCCCUGUGCUGGUGUGCAGAGUGCUGAGGCCAAGAGCACGAUGGUUACGUGUGAGGUGGUAUUAUGGCAACACCAACUGGGAGACACGGAGAAGACGGUUGGGAAGAGCCGAGGGAGUCCUGAAAGAGAUUGCCAGCAGGAGAAAAUUAACUCAGCUCUCGUGGCCUUCCAGCUCCCAAGGCCAGUGUGCAUGAGGCUGACCCUUGUCUUCUUGAAAUGAAGUGUAACUCUUUCAAAGUAGGAAGCUGGGAAUUUUCUCCACUAGAAUCAAGGAGGAGAAUGAAAAGGCAGGAAAUAAGAACUGGGAGAUUUCUUGAGAGUGGAUAUUCUGCUAAGGUCGCUGCCUUAUAAGGGAGUCCUUGACCUGAGGUCCAUGAACUGAUGGGCUGCUGGGAGUGAUGAGCUCCUCAGAAGCUCAGGUAGACGUUUAUGGGCAUUUGUGCAUAACUGCAUUUUAUAGAGGAUAAGAUCUACAAGUUUUAUUCUCAAAGGGACCCACGAACC
rnacentral:lncRNA from 1 species